CUUCGCCAAUGAAAGCCUGGUGCGACAUUCCUACAGGAAGACAGAGUCCGAAACAGCUCCUCCUACAAAAACAGGCAUGGUGAAGAGGCAUCUCUGGGUCCUCUGUCGGCAUCAAACGCACAGGCACAGCUGGACACCUCACAGCCAUGGACUCCAAACGAGACAUUACUGACUGUGCACAGGCAAUUGGAAAAUUCUGUAUUAUUACAUUAUACAGGCCUUUCGGCAUUACAGCUUGUUGGAGGGCACCCACCUCAAAGAGCUCCUCUGGAUCCUUGUUUCCAUCCAGCUCAAAUAAAUAUGGGGGAUUAUGGUCUGCCAUGUAAUCCUACACAUCAAGCAUAAGGUCCCACUUCUCCUUCUGGAACACACGGCCUGUCUCCGGAUGUUGACGCUCUCCUGAUAGCCUGUGGAUCAGGUAAUCCUCUGAAAUUGAUGGCAAACAGGCCAGGACAUAACCUGCUCAACCACCAUUCAAACAAGUCAUUACAAAUAUAUAUGAACA